CUCACUAUAAGCCAGAGAGUUGAAUUAGAUCAUGAUAGGUACAUCUCAGAGUUGUUGUGAGGAUGCAAUUAAUCAAGAAGAAUCAACAGACAAUUGCUUCUAUGUUUGCUUAGAACUGUGCAGGUAA